rnacentral:ribozyme from 1 species
GAGAACAGACCGCCCCGUUUAUCGGGGUAAGGGUGAAACGGCGGUGUAAGAGACCACCGGGGGACUGGUAACAGGCCCCGCAUGGCAAGCCCCACCUGGAGCAAUGCCGAAUAGGAACCUCGCGCGGCAUGUCCGCAGGGUCGUCUUGGCCCGGAGGUUCGGGUUGGCAGCUAGAGGCACGCAGGCAACUGCGCGCCAAGAUGAAUGGUCAUCCAGAGCGUUUACGCUUGGACAGAAUCCGGCUUAUAGGCCCUC